GACGAACCGUGCAAACGUUGUUCGGAAUCACUGGGCUUAAAGGGCGCGUAGGCGGGCCAGACAGUCUGUGGUGAAAGCCUCCAGCUUAACUGGAGAAGUGCCGUGGAUACUGCUGGCCUCGAGGAGGGUAGGGGCAUCUGGAACGGUCGGUGGAGCGGUGAAAUGCGUUGAUAUCGACCGGAACUCCGGUGGCGAAGGCGAGGUGCUGGACCCUUUCUGACGCUGAGGCGCGAAAGCCAGGGGAGCAAACGGG
rnacentral:rRNA from 1 species